AGAUGAAUAUGAUGAAAGCAAAAAUAAAACAUGUCUGAUCAUCAAACACAGUUUGUUUUGGUAUGAUUGAGCAUAUUAUCGCUACGUUCUUUCUGAUUCAUAU
rfam:Cicer arietinum chromosome Ca3, whole genome shotgun sequence.